GUUUUGAAAUUCAAAAUUAACUUAAUUGAUAAAAGUGAAAAAAAAUACGUUUAUUUUAAGUUAACCUUGGAGAAAAUGAGUUAAGUUAACGAGUUAAUUUUAUCUGAAGGAAUUAAGUUAAGUUAAUAAGUUAACAUAACUUAACUUUUAACUUAACGUGUAACUUAUUAACUCGUUAAUGCCCAGGCUUGUAUAAGAAGUAGUAGAAAGCCAAUGUAAUUAUUAUGUAGGAUUCCUAUCUAAUAAAUAUCGGUUUAUUUUUAGCACGAGUAAAAAAAUACGAUCACGCGACCCCGCGAAUAUUUUUAUCACACCAUAUUUCGAUGACAUUUUAAUUUCCC